rnacentral:rRNA from 1 species
AGUGAACGCUGGCGGUGUGCUUAACACAUGCAAGUCGAACGAGAACGGACUAAAGUUUACUUUAGUUGUCAGCUAAGUGGCGCACGGGUGAGUAAUCUAUAGCUAACCUACCCUAAAGAGGGGGAUAAUUAAUGGAAACGUUUUGUAAUACCCUAUACCUCUUAUCUACACAAGUGUAUAAGAGAAAACUUUAGUGCUUUAGGAUGGGGCUGUAUUGUAUCAGCUAGUUGGUGGUGUAAUGGACCACCAAGGCUAUGACGCAUAACUGGUUUGAGAGGAUGAUCAGUCACAUUGGGACUGAGAUACGGCCCAGACCGCUACGGUGGGCAGCAGUAGGGAAUUUUUCACAAUGAACGAAAGUUUGAUGGAGCAAUACUGUGUGCAGGAAGAGGGUCUUCGGAUUGUAAACUGCUGUCGUAAGGAAGAAAUGCUUUUAGAGGAAAUGCUAAAAAGUUUGACGGUACUUUAUAAGAAAGUCACGGCUAACUAUGUGCCAGCCGCCGCGGUAAU